rnacentral:rRNA from 1 species
CCUACGGGAGGCAGCAGUGGGGAAUAUUGGACAAUGGGGGCAACCCUGAUCCAGCAAUGCCGCGUGAGUGAAGAAGGCCUUAGGGUUGUAAAGCUCUUUCACCCGUGAAGAUGAUGACGGUAGCGGGAGAAGAAGCCCCGGCUAACUCCGUGCCAGCAGCCGCGGUAAU